rnacentral:lncRNA from 1 species
AUAAAUACAUAUUUGCCUUUAUACUACUUGUUGAAAUGCCAUAAUGAAGAAUGAAGUUGAAAUCAUGAAGUGGAACAGAGUAAUGAAAACUCAAACUACUGCUUUGAAAAGCUGUUACUGAAGUCUGGGUGUUCUGUGUCCUUCUAUAUUGUCACAUCUGAGCUUUCCUACUCUAUAUUUCACCACAAACAAAACAAGUAUUCCAGCAUCUUUCUUCUGUUUUCAGCAGGGUGGGGAUAUGAAUUUUUAACAAGAGAUUGUUACUUCUUAUUGAAGCAAACAUAAGCUGAACUCCAUUUUCAGGAAAGCUCUACCCUUUCUUCAUUACAGGUUUUCUAUCUCAUGGAUGUUUAGAACUUCUAGUUCUGCCAAUAGUGGAAGAGCGGAGACAAAAAUCUGAAAGCAAGAUGCAAACUCAGCCUUCAAACAAUCAGGCAUUUUCCUGCUUCUGAGUAGAGCUUCAUAGAAAAGCUUCAUUUCCUCAUGGAAGAUCUUUCAUUAUCAACUUAAUGGAAAGAUCCAGGUCCAGGAUCCUGGGAAGCAUAACCAUUAACUUUGCCAUGCCAUUACAGACAUACCAGAGCCCUAAUGAGAGCAAAGCAAUGAGAAGUUGAGACUCGACCUCGGUAUAUUUUGAUAUUAAAAAAAAGAGAAAAGUUCCUGUGAUAGGAGACAGCCUCAGAAGAAUACUGAAAGGCAAAUGUGCAAGCACAUUGCAGCUAAGCUUGGCAGAGAAGCCCUCUCAGUGCUGUAUCGGGGGGAUUGUGCUGCUCAAAAUGUCAUCUCUCAGGUAAAUACACAGCCACUAUAUAUAGUGGCUUCCAAUUCCUUUGUAACU